AUUGAACGCUGGCGGUAUGCUUAAGACAUGCAAGUCGAACGGUAACAGACCUUCGGGUGCUGACGAGUGGCGGACGGGUGAGUAACACGUGGGAAUCUACCUUGUAGUGGGGGAUAAGCCAGGGAAACUUGGACUAAUACCGCAUACGCCCUAAGGGGGAAAGGAGCAAUUCGCUAUAAGAUGAGCCCGCGUCUGAUUAGCUAGUUGGUGAGGUAAAGGCUCACCAAGGCGACGAUCAGUAGCUGGUCUGAGAGGAUGACCAGCCACAUUGGGACUGAGACACGGCCCAGACUCCUACGGGAGGCAGCAGUCGGGGAAUAUUGGACAAUGGGGGCGAACCCUGAUCCAGCAAUACCGCGUGUGUGAAGAAGGCCUGCGGGUUGUAAAGCUCUUUUGUCAGGGAGCAAAACCUACAGACUAAUACUCUGUGGGGAUGAGAGUACCUGAAGA
rnacentral:rRNA from 1 species